AUGGGGGGACGCAGUAGGAUAGGCGAAGCGUGCGAUUGGAUUGCACGUCUAAGCAGUAAGGCUGAGUAUUAGGCAAAUCCGGUACUCGUUAAGGCUGAGCUGUGAUGGGGAGAAGACAUUGUGUCUUCGAGUCGUUGAUUUCACACUGCCGAGAAAAGCCUCUAGAUAGAAAAUAGGUGCCCGUACCGCAAACCGACACAGGUAGUCAAGAUGAGAAUUCUAAGGUGAGCGAGCGAACUCUCGUUAAGGAACUCGGCAAACUCUCG
rnacentral:rRNA from 1 species